rnacentral:rRNA from 1 species
UACGUAGGGACCAAGCGUUGUCCGGAAUCAUUGGGCGUAAAGCGCGCGUAGGUGGCCAUUUAAGUCCGCUGUGAAAGUCAGAGGCUCAACCUUUGAAAGCCGGUGGAUACUGGAUGGCUAGAGUACGGAAGAGGCGAGUGGAAUUCCUGGUGUAGCGGUGGAAUGCGCAGAUAUCAGGAGGAACACCGGUGGCGAAGGCGGGUCUCUGGGCCGAUACUGACGCUGAGGAGCGAAAGCGUGGGGAGCGAACAGG